CAAAUAUUGUCAUCUGGCAACGCACGAUUUAAUGGUUAAAAUAUAUUAAGCUAAGACCUCUGUUUAGCAUCAUUGUCUGUUUGCCUUUUGUCUGCUAGUCCUGUCAGUGACUAACCACGCUGCUAGACACUUACAGCUAGUUUUCCAUUUGUCUGCCUAAUUGAACACCGUUUCUUCCUUAGUUUGCUCUGUGUUCUUUUCGUGUGUUCUUAAGUUCUACGCAUUGUUUGUGUUUGUCGUUGCUUGGAUCAACUCUCGGUCCUAAGUCAAGCUUUCCCAAUCGCUCGCCCAAGUCUAGUGUCCUUAGAAGCAUCUGUGUGUGGUCCAUCAGUUUAGGUGGUAGCUUUCCUGCCAGUUAUGCCAUCCUAGACACCGCAUAUAUACACAUCUGAGCUAACCGACAUUCUAAUUGGCCAGUCAUUCGUCUAACCGCUCCCUGCUUACAACAGCGGAGCCGAAUAGAACAAGCUCCUGAGUUCCCUACCUCUAGCUACGAAACAUUUUUGGUCCUUCGAACCGGAGCUCACCAGCAGCAGCUUGUACUAUACCACCAGCCAACUAGUAGCUGGUCAUUAAGAUUUUCCAUCGACUGCGAUUGGCUUGUUUGUUGCGUUUGACUAUUUCCAAUAUCUGUGUGCUUCUGUGAACCUCGUAACGACCUCGUCGUUUUGUUGUUUCUUCUCGUCUUCGAACAUCAACGGCGAUCUUUCCCACGCAUUCGAUUACGGUUUCUACUUCACACGUUCGAUACUUUCUCAUCAAAGGGUUGGAUGGAACAGGCCCCGACGGAGAUUAUGAACAGGAUCCAGCCAUCAUAAAUACAUGGAAGGCGCAGAGAAGGGUGGUUCGACAGCAACUCACUACUACUGCGCAGCGAAUUGAUGGCCUUAUCCAUAUUCGUGGGUCGAGAGGUGCCAUAUCAGGAUUGCUGCAAAAUCUCGAAGGUCUUCUAUCAAGAGCAAGUCAACUUCACACAAAUUUGAUGUCCGUGGAGGACCAGACCGAGAAUGACCGACAAGAUGGCAUGCAUCUCAGGUAUAUCCAGCAAGCUGGGGAGGUUGUCGAUAGAGCGAAGGAACAUUUAGCUACAAGAGUUGGAGAACCCCCUUCAGAAGUUGCAGUAGCUGUAUCGCAUCCCCUACAAGCCGGUGUGAUACCUGACGGUGCUCGUCAAGCAGAGGAUCUUAGGACAGCCAGACAAAGAGCCGAGGUUGCACAACGCCAAGCAGAAGAAGCACGGAGCCAAGCUGAAGCAGCUUCUGG